UUUUAGAAAUCCAAAACACCGCAGAUGUGAUGUUGUAAAGGAUGAGUGAGUUGAGUGAGGGGAGGUUUUUGUAGGAGGGCUUAGCCUGGCUGAAUCACUGUGGUACAUGUUCGGACAAGGCACCAAACUCAUUGUGAAACGUCGACCACUAUCCUCUCCAGUGAUCAGUCUGCAGAGUACAGGUCUAGAGAAGUCCACUCCUGAUAAAGCCACGCUGGUCUGUCAAAUCAACAAAUUCUACCCUGAUCAUGUUACUGUGAGCUGGAGUGUGGACGGGCAGGACGUGUCAGGAAACAAGCAGGACACUCAGUCGGUCCGGAGCUCUGACGGGACAUACAGCAUGAGCAGCAUUCUGACGAUGUCCCGCUCAGCCUGGGAGGCUGCAGAGGCUUUCACCUGCCAGGUUCAGCACGAGAGCCUGAGCACACCUGCAAGCCACACUGUGACCAAGAGCCAGUGCCAGGAGUGACGGGUAGACCAUGCAGGUGUGGCAGGGCAGUAAUAACUGAAACAGCCCACACUCAGUCUCACUUCUGUUUCUCACUUUCACAUCAUACUCUCUCUCUCUCUCUAUCUGUUUCACACUCUGUCACACAUUAACCACCUUUAUAUAAAAAAAGAAUAAAUGCAAAUAAAUACAAAUACAAAAGGAAUUCAGAGUCGUGACAUUUAUUAUAUCUACAAAUAAUAUGGUUUAAAGAUGUUCUGUUUUAUUACCUUUUUGUUGUAAUUCUCAAAUUGGUGAAAUAAAUAUUUCUCAUAUA